AUUUGGGGCGGUACACCCAUCAAACUUGUAAGGCAAGUGUCCUAAGACAAGCUCAGGGAGGACAGAAACCACCAUUGGAGCAGAAGGGCAAAAAACUCACUUGAUCUUGAUUUCAGUAGAAAUACAGACCAUGAACGAUCCUUCUGACUUUGGGG
rnacentral:ncRNA from 1 species